GUAAUAGUUUAGUGUAUUUUCGGUUUAGUCGGAUACGACUGUACAUAGUUAGUAACUUAGUUAGUUCAACGGUUAGAGAUGUAGGUUUGUGAUGCUGCUGAAAUGGACUGGCCGGUGUGUGAGUGAUUGAAGCACCAUCGGAAUCCAGACUGAAGAACUGCAGCUGCCUCGCUGGGACCAACGAUAGAGAUCAUGGCUAGCAGUAGGCGAGCUGAAGCUCAUCAGCAGCACAAGUCAAGAAGUCCCUUUGAUACUAAUUCACUGGAACGAUGGCUGAACCCCAGGAUCAAGUUGGUGGUUGCACUCAUAUUUCUUGCACUCCUGAUGGGUGUUAUUAUGGCAAUUCUCGGUCUGACUGGUUACGUCAGCCCUACGUAUAUAUGGAUAGGUAUUCUGCUGACGAUCUUCUCUCCGUUCCUGGUGCCGUUUGCCCUCAUCUUGGUCCACUGGCUGCUUUCGGGGUUUCUGCCACGCGGGCCCACCAUGACUCUUAUAGAGAAGGAUAUGCACUACUAGUAGUGUAGUAUGCUGCCAAUGUGGUUCCAACACAGCACACCUCUCUAGCCCAGUUGUGCUGGGGCAACACUUACAAAGGACUAUCGGAUGUAGUAGUUCGUCCUUACCCAAGAGACUUACAAUACGGCUUCCUCUCUCUCUCACUUGUGUGGAAGGCUCUGCCGUAUAUGGCUGCUGAGCGCUCUUUGAGCAGUGGGACACGCUACUUGAGUACGUACUAUCAACCUUAGAUUGUUUCCCAGCAAGAGCAAACUGUAAUUUCCCCAGUCACGGUAUAGAGUCAGUGUCCUACGAACACUGCGAUAUUAGUUUGCUUGCCCGCGACUCGCGCACAGUAGCGUGUACUGAAUGCAUUGAUAUCCGAUGUGAUAUUCUUGAUGAUGUUGAAUUUGCAACACACGAGUUGCAGACUAUCACCAAACCAUACUAGUGGUGUAUUGUAUAUGAAAAUUAAAUUAUGCAUAAUAACCAUGAAUGUGUGAUUAUUCAGAGCAUUGGCUGUGGCCAUACUUGACAAACUGAUACAAUUCGAUGAGAUCUGAUUCUAGUGUGUUCUAGUAAAUUUACUAUGAAAGCUCUUGCAGCGAACCAACACCUAUUUACUAGGAGAUAUUGCCACGGCAUACUGGCUUCACUGAUUGAGUCGUUAUCAUGAUUUUGGCACACGACUGCCGGCUAGAUGAAUGUUACUGUGAGGUGAUAAAUAA